GAACGCUAGCGACAGGCUAACACAUGCAAGUCGAGGGCAUCACGGGAGUAGCAAUACAACGUGGUGGCGACCGGCGCACGGGUGAGUAACGCGUAUGCAACCUACCUAUCAGAGGGGAAUAACCGGCGAAAGUCGGACCAAUACCGCAUAAAACAGGGGCACCGCAUGGUGAUAUUUGUUAAAGAAAUUCGCUGAUAGAUGGGCAUGCGUUCCAUUAGGUAGUUGGUGAGGUAACGGCUCACCAAGCCGACGAUGGAUAGGGGAACUGAGAGGUUGGUCCCCCACACUGGUACUGAGACACGGACCAGACUCCUACGGGAGGCAGCAGUGAGGAAUAUUGGUCAAUGGGCGGGAGCCUGAACCAGCCAAGUCGCGUGAAGGAAGAAGGAUCUAUGGUUCGUAAACUUCUUUUGCAGGGGAAUAAAGUGCAGGACGUGUCCUGUUUUGUAUGUACCCUGAGAAUAAGGAUCGGCUAACUCCGUGCCAGCCGCCGC
rnacentral:rRNA from 1 species